rnacentral:rRNA from 1 species
CCCUUAGAUGUUCUGGGCCGCACGCGCGCUACACUGACGAAUGCAACGAGCUUAUAACCUUGGCCGAAAGGUCUGGGUAAUCUCCAAAUUUCGUCGUGAUGGGGAUAGAUUAUUGCAAUUAUUAAUCUUCAACGAGGAAUGCCUAGUAAGCGCGAGUCAUCAGCUCGUGCUGAUUACGUCCCUGCCCUUUGUACACACCGCCCGUCGCUCCUACCGAUUGAGUGUUCCGGUGAAUAAUUCGGACUGCAGCAGCGUGGGGACUCCUCAUGCUGCAGCGGAAAGUUUGGUGAACCUUAACACUUAGAGGAAGGAGAAGUCGUAACA